AAACGUGAAGCCAUUUCGCUGAAUUUAUUUUGCGCCAUUUCAGAAAAAUCAACCGAACGUGAACGUCCAGACGAUUAAAAAGAUGAAGCACACAGAAAAUCCUCGUGUCUGAGAAGGAGACAAUUGUACAGGAUGAAAAAGUACUGGACAACUGGAGUGAUAUCGCCGGCCCUCUUGUCGACGAUGCUUCAUGUUUCGACUAAAACCGGAAAACUGAAUUCUUAAAUGGUAUUUAAAAUGAGAAAUAUAGAUAAUAUGAAUAAAAAACUAAAUUUUU